rnacentral:rRNA from 1 species
UGGGGAAUAUUGGACAAUGGGCGCAAGCCUGAUCCAGCAAUGCCGCGUGAGUGAUGAAGGCCUUCGGGUUGUAAAGCUCUUUCGCACGCGACGAUGAUGACGGUAGCGUGAGAAGAAGCCCCGGCUAACUUCGUGCCAGCAGCCGCGGUAAUACGAAGGGGGCUAGCGUUGUUCGGAAUUACUGGGCGUAAAGGGCGCGUAGGCGGCCUGUUUAGUCAGGAGUGAAAUCCCCGGGCUCAACUGGAAUUGCUUUUGAUACUGGCAGGCUUGAGUUCCGGAGAGGAUGGUGGAAUUCCCAGUGUAGAGGUGAAAUUCGUAGAUAUUGGGAAGAACACCGGUGGCGAAGGCGGCCAUCUGGACGGACACUGACGCUGAGGCGCGAAAGCGUGGGGAGCAAACAGGAUUAGAUACCCUGGUAGUCCACGCCGUAAACGNUGAAUGCUAGACGCUGGGGGGCUUCCUUUCGGUGUCGCGCUAACGCAUUAAGCAUUCCGCCUGGGGAGUACGGCCGCAA